rnacentral:rRNA from 1 species
CUCAUGGUUUCACGGUAUUGCAAUGAGAACAAUUUAAAACCCUUAGCGAGAAUCAAGUGGAGGACAAGUCUGGUGCCAGCACCCGCGGUAAUUCCAGCUCCACUAGCGUAUAUUAAAGUUGUUGCAGUUAAAAAGCUCGUAGUUGAACCUCUGUCUGGGGCUAGUUUUGGCUUUGGUCAGGCUAGUUCUAGGCAUCCGCCUACAAGACUUAGAGGGCAUUCAGUUGUUCACUAGGAGGAGUAGGCAUUUUACUUUGAAAAAAUUAGAGUGUUUAAGGCAGGCAAUCGCCCGCAUAUAUUAGCAUGGAAUAAUAGAAUAGGACACUUUUCCAUUUCGUUGGUUAUUGGAAUCGUGUAAUGAUUAAUAGGGACAGUUGUGGGCAUUUGUAUUUAAUUGUCAGAGGUGAAAUUCUUGGAUUUAUUAAAGACAAACUAACGCGAAAGCAUUUGCCAAGGAUGUUUUCAUUAAUCAAGAACGAAAGUUAGGGGAUCAAAGACGAUCAGAUACCGUCCUAGUCUUAACUAUAAACUAUUCCGACUCAAUGUUUGACUGGCUUAUAUAACCAGUUGAGCGUUGUAUGAGAAAUCAAAGUCUUUAGGUUCUGGGGGGAGUAUGGUUGCAAAGCUGAAACUUAAAGGAAUUGACGGAAGAGCACAACCAGGAGUGGAUUCUGCGGCUUAAUUUGACUCAACACGGGGAAACUUACCAGGUUAAAACAAUAGUGGGAUUGACGGUUUGAGAGCGCUUUCUUGAUUGGUUGGGUGGUGGUGCAUGGCCGUUCUUAGUUGGUGGAGUGAUUUGUCUGCUUAAUUGCGUUAACGAACGAGACCUUAACCUGCUUACUAGACUGGCGAUCAUCAAUCGUUAGCUCUUCUUAGAGGGACUUUGGUUGUUUUAACUCCAAGGAAGUUUGAGGCAAUAACAGGUCUGUGAUGCCCUUAGAUAUCCUGGGCCGCACGCGUCAUACAAUGACUAGUUCAGAAAGUUUUCUCCUGGCCCGAAAGGGGAUGGGUAAUCUUGAUAAUACUAGUCGUGUUAGGGAUCGAUCUUUGCAAUUAUAGAUCUUGAACGAGGAAUUCCUAGUAAGUGCGGUUCAUCAGACCGUACUGAUUACGUCCCUGCUCUUUGUACACACCGCCCGUCGCUUCUACCGAGUGGGUGGUCCGGUGAGAUAAUUGAACUUCGCAGGUAACUGAGAGGAAAGAUUAUCAAACCUAUCCACCU